GAAGAACCCUAAUUUUUUACCCAAAAAUCUGUACCCCAAAUUUAAUUCAAACAUAACUCAAAAUUCCUUCUUUUGAAUCAAAGGUGCCACAAUGGCUCAAAAAAGUUUUAGUAGGCUCUGUUUGCAAAAGGAAGAUCUUAAAUUGGAAGAGGUGCGAUGCAAACAUGAAUUUGUUUGCCUUUGCUAACCUUUUGGACCCAAAGAAAUCCUGGUAGAAAAUAUUGGGGUUGUCCUUACUAUGGGAAUGCUAGAUCAUGCGAUUUUUGACUUUGGAAGGAUGAUUAUAUUGAUCAAAGAUCCAAAUUUGUGACUCUUAAGUUGUUGGGAAGAAUUGUUGAGCUUGAACAUAUUGUUGAAUCUUCUGAAAAAGUUGAAACUUCUACUAAGGAAGUCAACAUGCCUACUAAAUCAACCAAAUAUAUGGAAAGCAGAUUAGGUAUGAACAAGAUAGAGUUAGAAAUGGACAAUUUCGAUGAUAAUUUGAAGAAGAUGAAAGCAGUUGAAAAAAAUGGAAAAACAAAUAGGCCAAGUUCAAAAAAAGGGAGAAACAACUUUGAUUGUUUUUUUUUAUGUUUGUAUUUUAGGUGUAAGUCAGUAUUUCAAAGACUAUUGUUUCUAAACAGAGAAGUAGAUUCAAGGAGAUUGCCAUAAUCUUUUCUUGUACCAAAAAUUUGCAAUAUUGUGUUAAACUUGUAAGGCUUUUUGUGUAAUGAAAUGAUGUUAGUUGAAUUUUCUUGUGUAAUGAAAUGAUGUUACAUUUGAAUUUGCUUGUGUAAUGAAGUUGCAUUUGUGUAAUGAAGAAUUUGCAAGGC